CUGACUGACCAGCCACCAAACUCCUGAGAAAAUCAGCAUGAAGUGUCAGUCAGGGUUCAGUUCAAGUGACAGCUAAAUUUGCCUCUCUGGAGAUGAAUGAGAGCUGGUGGGCCUGAAAUGCAAACCACCUCAAACAAAGCCUGCCAGUGUCCACACCAGCAAGCUUUUAAAUCAUACGGUAGCCUUCAACCAUUAACACUUCAAACACCGUCUGGCCCUUUGAAAAGGCAGUUCAUUUAUUAAUGUUUCUGUUAAAAGUCCCUUCCUCACUCUGUUCACAGGAUUGCCUCCUGGAUUGUCAGACCCUGGCUUCUCGAUCCCGCUCAAGCAAGGAUGGAAACCAGCUCUGAAAUGCUUUAGGAGGGAUGCAGGAUCCAGAGGUGGGAUGCCAAGGUCUGGAGUCUCGCACCUCCCCUCCAGUUUUGGGAGCUGCUGCCUCACACCGGAGCACUCUGGAUCUGUCUCCCAGAAAUUCAGUGUCUGCCCAGCAACAUCCUGCCCUGAAGGAGAGAAGUUCCCAGCCCCUGCCAAGGAUCAACAUCAAGAACAUGUCCCACAGAGACAAGGCCACACAGCAGCUUCCAUGUGUCAGCAUUCCCACCAAGUCCUUCCAACAGGCAGCCCAAAUUCAGCUCCUCACACACAUAGAGUUACGGAGAAAUUGCUGUCUAACAGAUCCUUUGUGGACUUCCGACCAAAACCAUCCAGUGCAACAAAUGGUAAGUCAUUCAGUGUUUUAUAAACUCAGACCCUCAACCCUAGCUAUUUAUGGUGGAAACUGGCAUAUCAAUAGUUUCUUUUUGGUUAC
rnacentral:lncRNA from 1 species